rnacentral:rRNA from 1 species
UACGUAGGUGGCAAGCGUUGUCCGGAUUUACUGGGCGUAAAGAGCGCGCAGGCGGUCGUUCAAGUCGCGUGUGAAAGCCCCCGGCUCAACUGGGGAGGGUCACGCGAUACUGCUCGACUCGAAGGCAGGAGAGGGAAGUGGAAUUCCCGGUGUAGUGGUGAAAUGCGUAGAUAUCGGGAGGAACACCAGUGGCGAAGGCGGCUCACUGGACCGGAACUGACGCUGAGGCGCGAAAGCGUGGGGAGCAAACAGG